rnacentral:rRNA from 1 species
GAUGAACGCUGGCGGCGUGCCUAAUACAUGCAAGUCGAGCGAACGGACGAGAAGCUUGCUCCUCUGAUGUUAGCGGCGGACGGGUGAGUAACACGUGGAUAACCUACCUAUAAGACUGGGAUAACUUCGGGAAACCGUAGCUAAUACCGGAUAAUAUUUUUAACCGCAUGGUUCAAUAGUGAAAGACGGUUUUGCUGUCACUUAUCGAUGGAUCCGCGCUGCAUUAGCUAGUUGGUAAGGUAACGGCUUACCAAGGCAACGAUGCAUAGCCGACCUGAGAGGGUGAUCGGCCACACUGGAACUGAGACACGGUCCAGACUCCUACGGGAGGCAGCAGUAGGGAAUCUUCCGCAAUGGGCGAAAGCCUGACGGAGCAACGCCGCGUGAGUGAUGAAGGUCUUCGGAUCGUAAAACUCUGUUAUUAGGGAAGAACAUAUGUGUAAGUAACUGUGCACAUCUUGACGGUACCUAAUCAGAAAGCCACGGCUAACUACGUG